UACGUAGGGAGCAAGCGUUGUCCGGAAUCAUUGGGCGUAAAGCGCGCGUAGGUGGCCUCAUAAGUCCGCUGUGAAAGUCAAAGGCUCAACCUUUGAAAGCCGGUGGAUACUGUGAGGCUAGAGUACGGAAGAGGCGAGUGGAAUUCCUGGUGUAGCGGUGGAAUGCGCAGAUAUCAGGAGGAACACCUAUUGCGAAGGCAGCUCGCUGGGACGUAACUGACGCUGAGACGCGAAAGCGUGGGGAGCAAACAGG
rnacentral:rRNA from 1 species